rnacentral:rRNA from 1 species
AAAUCCGGGUGGCAAUGGGAAGCCGUGAUGCGGAGCGAAAUAAAGUAGCGAAGUCCGUGAGCCAUGCGUCAAGAAAAGCCGCUAUUGUUUGUACCGUACCCGUACCGUAAACCGACACAGGUGGAUGAGGAGAGAAUCCUAAGGCCGGCGGAAGAAGCAUUGUCAAGGAACUCGGCAAAAUGGCCCCGUAACUUAGGGAUAAGGGGUGCCUGGGAAACCAGGCCGCAGAGAAUAGGCUCAAGCAACUGUUUAGCAAAAACACAGGUCUAUGCGAAACCUAAAGGUGAGGUAUAUGGGCUGACGCCUGCCCGGUGCUGGAAGGUUAAGAGGAGAGGUUAGCGGUAACGCGAAGCUUUGAAUUUAAGCCCCAGUAAACGGCGGCCGUAACUAUAACGGUCCUAAGGUAGCGAAAUUCCUUGUCGGGUAAGUUCCGACCCGCACGAAAGGCGUAAUGAUUUGAGCGCUGUCUCGACAAUGCAUCCGGUGAAAUUGAAGUACCAGUGAAGAUGCUGGUUACCUGCGCCAGGACGGAAAGACCCCAUGGAGCUUUACUCCAGUCUGGUACUGGGACUCGGUAUUGCAUGUACAGGAUAGGUGGGAGGCUAGGAGAUGGUAACGCCAGUUGCCAUGGAGCCGCUGUUGGGAUACCACCCUUGCAGUAUUGGGUUUCUAACCAGCCGCCGUGACCCGGCGGUGGGACAAUGCCAGACGGGGAGUUUGACUGGGGCGGUCGCCUCCGAAAGGGUAUCGGAGGCGCCCAAAGGUUCCCUCAGAAUGGACGGAAACCAUUCGAAGAGUGCAAAGGCAGAAGGGAGCUUGACUGCGACACCGACGGGUGGAGCAGGUACGAAAGUAGGGCUUAGUGAUCCGGUGGUAUUAAGUGGGAAUGCCAUCGCUCAACGGAUAAAAGCUACCCUGGGAUAACAGGCUUAUCACUCCCAAGAGUUCACAUCGACGGAGUGGUUUGGCACCUCGAUGUCGGCUCAUCGCAUCCUGGGGCUGUAGUAGGUCCCAAGGGUUGGGCUGUUCGCCCAUUAAAGCGGUACGCGAGCUGGGUUCAGAACGUCGUGAGACAGUUCGGUCCCUAUCCGGCGUGGGCGUAGGAUAUCUGAGAGGAGCUGUCCUUAGUACGAGAGGACCGGGAUGGACGGGCCGCUGGUGCAUCGGUUAGACUGCCAAGUCUACGGCCGAGUAGCCAAGCCCGGAAGGGAUAAACGCUGAAGGCAUCUAAGCGUGAAGCCCCCCUUAAGAUGAGAUAUCCCAUUCGAAAGAAGUAAACCCCCUUGAAGACGACGAGGUAGAUAGGGCAGAGGUGGAAGUGCAGUAAUGCAUGGAGCUGACUGUUACUAAUCGGGUGAGGGCUUGACC